UAAUACGGAAGGUGCGAGCGUUAAUCGGAAUUACUGGGCGUAAAGCGCACGUAGGUGGUUUUAUAAGUCGGAUGUGAAAGCCCCGGGCUUAACCUGGGAAUUGCAUCUGAUACUGUCUGACUAGAGUAUGCUAGAGGGAAGUGGAAUUCCAGGUGUAGCGGUGAAAUGCGUAGAUAUCUGGAGGAACACCAAUGGCGAAGGCAACUUCCUGGGGCAAUACUGACACUGAUGUGCGAAAGCGUGGGGAGCAAACAGGAUUAGAUACCCUGGUAGUCCACGCCGUAAACGAUGAGAACUAGUCGUCGGGAGGGUCAGCCAUCCGGUGACGUAGCUAACGCGUUAAGUUCUCCGCCUGGGGAGUACGGCCGCAAGGUUG
rnacentral:rRNA from 1 species